rnacentral:rRNA from 1 species
GCCUAAUACAUGCAAGUCGAGCGGACAGAUGGGAGCUUGCUCCCUGAUGUUAGCGGCGGACGGGUGAGUAACACGUGGGUAACCUGCCUGUAAGACUGGGAUAACUCCGGGAAACCGGGGCUAAUACCGGAUGGUUGUCUGAACCGCAUGGUUCAGACAUAAAAGGUGGCUUCGGCUACCACUUACAGAUGGACCCGCGGCGCAUUAGCUAGUUGGUGAGGUAACGGCUCACCAAGGCGACGAUGCGUAGCCGACCUGAGAGGGUGAUCGGCCACACUGGGACUGAGACACGGCCCA